UAUACUUUUCUUAGGAACCUCUGGGCCCGCGUCUACGUGCCGCAAGCCGAGAGGUUUGGGUUUUGUGUUUUGUGGGUGGAAAAAUCCCUUUAAUAGCUCGAACGUAUAAAUAAACUGGUACAUAUCGAGCUGUCGGACUCGAACAACCAAUCGGUAUCGUGCCCGUAAUGUGGCGCGUGAACAUUGUUUUUAAAACAAACCCGGUUCUGGGUAGUAAAACGAUCCUCCAUCUGGACCUCUGCCCUGCUCGGUCUACAACGAUCUCUCUUCACGGGCCGGAGGGGGCACGGCUUUUGACCUUUGCAUAAACUGCAAACGGUGACUGAACCUGGAUUUUCAUAGGCCCGAGGAGGGACGGCAGCGAAAACAGUGACAACUAACAGGAAGAGGAUGGCAUUUCCUUUUUAGGGCCUCCUUGUGCCACCAAAACAGCUCUGACUCGUCCAGGCGUGGACUCUACAAGACCUCUGAAGGUGCGCGGUCGUAUCUGGAACCGAGACGUUUAAUCUACGAGGUCGGGCCUCCACGGAUCGGACUUGCUCGUCCAGGACGUCCCACAGACGCUCGAUCGGAUUGCGAUCUGGGGAAUUCGGAGGCCGAUUCAACACCUUGACCCGGGACCCAAGGUUUCCCAGCAGAACAUUCCCCAGAGCGUCACACUGCCUCCGCCAGCUUGCCCUCUUCCUAUAGUGCACCCUGGUGCCAUGUCUUCCUCAGGAGCUUUCAGUGAUGGACAGGGGGUCGGCAUGGGCGCUCGGACCGGUCUGCAGCUACAGAGCGCGGAGACGGAGACGCACUGUGUUUCUAUCAGAGCCAGGAUGAGCUUUUUCAGCAGUUGGUGCUACAGUAGCUCUUCUGUGCGAUCAGACCGAACGGUCUAGCCUUCUCUCCCCACGAGCCUUGGGCGCCUAUGACCGCCUACGACGCUGUCGCUGGGUCACCGCUUGUCCUUCCUGGGAGCACUUUCGGAAGGUCCUAACCGCUGCACCCCACAAGACCUGUCGUUUUGGACCGGCUCGGACCCGGUCGUCUCGCCGUCGUUAUUCGGCCCUCAUGAAAGUCGCUCGGAUCUUUACGCGUGCUCAUUUUUCCUGCCUCCGACACGUCAACCUCGAGAACUGACUGCUCACUUGUUGCCUAAUAAAUAUAUAUCCCACCUCAUCGCAGGUAAUAAUCGUAACGAGAUAAUCGGACGUUAUUCACGUCACCUUUCAGUGGUUUUAAUGUUAUGGCUGAUCGGUGUAGCCACCAUUUAAGUAAUUAAAAUCUGAAUGCAAUCUGAAAAUCAAUUUGACAGCCAUAGAUCCACACACACACACACACACACACACACACACACACACACACACACAGAUGACGGAUAAUCCAGUUCAUAAUCUUAUAUUUGUCCACAGAGUAACCGAGAACUUAUAUUGAGUGAUUUUCAUACUUCCAUUUUUCACUUUAUGUCUCUCUCUCUCUCUCUCUGCCCUGGUUCUGGCACUGAGCAGCGGCCCAGUUGAAGUGUGUGUGUUCAUUGCAUAGCUGGUGUGUAUGUGUGUGUGUGUGUGUGUGUGUGUUUGCUCUGCCAGCCCUGGUUUAUGUAACAGACCCUCAUGUGAGCAGCUUUGUGCGAGAGCCUGCUGGAAGUUGGGGGAGCAUCAGGUAGAACGGCUAUGCAAAUAACAAGCUCAUUACGAUUACGCAACAGGAACUGUUUGUGCAAGGGCGCGCACGCAGGCACGAACGCACGCGCGCACACACACACACACACACACAACACAACACCAAACCAAACAUGCAUACACAAACCGUGCGAUGUGGUGAAUUGUACCACAGUCUGUCUCUCAGCCCCCCAACCUCGCCUGCCUGCGCACAACCUCGCUGUGAGGUCAGCGGAUUGACAGGUUGCCAAGGCAACACAAACGGGUGGCGGUGGUGGGGUUGGGUGGGGAGGGGAUUCGGCGACACUGACGCGAGGAGCUGGAAUUAUCUGAGGAGAUGGAAAAGUGCACAUCCGUCUCUCCUCUCCAUCUCUCUCCUCUCCUCCUCCCGUCUCGGUCGAAACGCCGACGUGCGUUAGCGAUCUCGCCGCGAUCGAGCGUUCGCCUGCUCUCCAUUUUACUGACAAUAAAAGCCGACGUAAAACUCUCAAAAACCCCGCGUAGAUGCGGACGCUAGUCGGCACUGCAUCACACGUCCUUCAGGAUCAUCACCGGUCGUAACAACGCACCCGAGCUGCACGUGCUGAAAAGUACCCGGUCUCCCGCUUCCACUCAAUCCGUAGCGGCGUUUCAAAGCGGGGCAAAGACGUCACCGGUGUCGGAUUUGCAUAGCGAGCACGGGCGUCUGAGCGUGCACGUGUCUGUGUGUGUCAUUCAACGACCUAAUGAAUUGCAAACGUUUGUGCGAUUGAGCUAGAAUAACCUGCUAGAAUAGUUGCAGUACAAAGACACUAGUAAGGGUGGGGAGAUGGGACAAAAAUACCAUAUGAGUUUCCUGAAGACGUUUCUGUGAUGCACGAUAUGCAUCACGAUAUACAGGUCGGCUAACAAUUUCCCAGCAGUGUUGCAACGUUAUGUUAUUUCGGGGUUGCCCUCCCCCCCAAAAUGAACCCCUUAUUCAACGUCUAAAUACACAAAUUGAAUAAAAACAACAGAGAAGCAUUAAUAAAGAUACCCACGAUAUUUCGGAAAAGCGUAUCGUUGCAUCAUUUAUCACAAUGCCGAUGUUAUAUCAUCUUCAUCGUAUCGCCCAGCCCUGGAUACCACCGACGGUUACCAGAAAGCUCUUUGCGACAUAUAAAAUUGAAACCCCUGGGAUGUGUUCAGAAAGAAGUGCGGGAGAGGCGCACCUGUAUG